GCACCCUUUGGGGACAUCCAAUAAAAUUAGAAUGAUACAGAGAAGAUUAGCAUGGCCCCUGCGCAAGGAUGACAUGCACAAAUCAAGAAAUGAUAUAAGAGCCU